rnacentral:rRNA from 1 species
GCUGGCGGUAGGCUUAACACAUGCAAGUCGUGCGAGAAAGUAUCUUCGGAUAUGAGUAGAGCGGCGGACGGGUGAGUAACGCGUAGGAAUCUACCUAGUAGAAGGGGAUAGCCCGGGGAAACUCGGAUUAAUACCGUAUACCUCCUUCGGGAGAAAGAAGGCCUCUCUUUGAAGCUUUCGCUAUUAGAUGAGCCUGCGUAAGAUUAGCUUGUUGGUGAGGUAAAGGCUCACCAAGGCGACGAUCUUUAGCGGGUCUGAGAGGACGAUCCGCCACAUUGGGACUGAGACACGGCCCAGACUCCUACGGGAGGCAGCAGUGGGGAAUAUUGGACAAUGGGCGCAAGCCUGAUCCAGCCAUACCGCGUGUGUGAAGAAGGCCCUAGGGUUGUAAAGCACUUUAAGUUGGGAAGAAAAGUUAUUGGUUAAUACCCAAUAACCGUGACAUUACCUUCAGAAUAAGGACCGGCUAAUUCCGUGCCAGCAGCCGCGGUAAUACGGAAGGUCCAAGCGUUAAUCGGAAUUACUGGGCGUAAAGCGCGCGUAGGUGGUUUAUUAAGUUGGAUGUGAAAUCCCCGGGCUCAACCUGGGAACUGCAUCCAAAACUGAUUCACUAGAGUACGAUAGAGGGAGGUAGAAUUCACAGUGUAGCGGUGGAAUGCGUAGAUAUUGUGAAGAAUACCAAUGGCGAAGGCAGCCUCCUGGAUCUGUACUGACACUAAGGUGCGAAAGCGUGGGUAGCGAACAGGAUUAGAUACCCUGGUAGUCCACGCCGUAAACGAUGUCAACUAGCUGUUGGGAAACAAUGUUUUUCAGUGGCGCAGCUAACGUAGUAAGUUGACCGCCUGGGGAGUAC